AUUGAACGCUGGCGGAAUGCUUUACACAUGCAAGUCGAACGGUAGAGGGGGCAACCCCUCGAGAGUGGCGAACGGGUGAGUAAUAUAUCGGAACGUGCCCAGUCGUGGGGGAUAACGUAGCGAAAGUUACGCUAAUACCGCAUACGAUCUAAGGAUGAAAGCGGGGGAUCGCAAGACCUCGCGCGAUUGGAGCGGCCGAUAUAAGAUUAGGUAGUUGGUGGGGUAAAGGCUCACCAAGCAAACGAUCUGUAGCUGGUCUUGGGGGACGACCAGCCACACGGGAACUGAGAAACGGUCAAAACUCUAACGGGGGGAGGCGGUGGGGAAUUUUGAACAUGGGACGCAAGUCUGAUCCAGCCAUUCCGGGUGAAGAAUGAAGGCCCUCGGGUGGUAAACUGCUUUUGUACGGACCGAAAAGGUCUCUCUAAAUCCGGGGGGCUAAGGACGGUACCGUAGAAUAAGCACCGGCUAACUACGUGCCAGCCGCCGCGGUAA
rnacentral:rRNA from 1 species